rnacentral:rRNA from 1 species
UAUGGCUCAGGAUGAACGCUAGCGGCAGGCUUAACACAUGCAAGUCGAGGGGCAUCGGGAGUAGCAAUACUGCCGGCGACCGGCGCAAGGGUGCGUAACGCGUGAGCAACAUGCCCGUAUCAGGGGGAUAAUCCAUGGAAACGUGGUCUAAUACCCCAUAGUAAUUAUGUAAGGCAUCUUAUAUAAUUUAAAGCUUUGGUGGAUACGGAUUGGCUCGCGUGACAUUAGCUGGAUGGUAAGGUAACGGCUUACCAUGGCUACGAUGUCUAGGGGUUCUGAGAGGAAGGUCCCCCCACACUGGAACUGAGACACGGUCCAGACUCCUACGGGAGGCAGCAGUGAGGAAUAUUGGACAAUGGAUGGAAAUCUGAUCCAGCCAUGCCGCGUGCAGGAAAGACGGCCCUAUGGGUUGUAAACUGCUUUUGUAUGGGAGCAAUAAGGGCUACGUGUAGUCCGAUGAGAGUACCAUACGAAUAAGCACCGGCUAACUCCGUGCCAGCCGCUGC